GACGAACCACACGAACGUUAUUCGGAAUCACUGGGCUUAAAGGGUGCGUAGGCGGCGCGGAAAGUAGGGUGUGAAAUCCCUCGGCUCAACCGAGGAAUAGCGCCCUAAACUACCGUGCUCGAGGGAGAUAGAGGUGAGCGGAACUUAGGGUGGAGCGGUGAAAUGCGUUGAUAUCCUAAGGAACACCGGUGGCGAAAGCGGCUCACUGGAUCUCUUCUGACGCUGAGGCACGAAAGCGUGGGGAGCGAACAGG
rnacentral:rRNA from 1 species